rnacentral:rRNA from 1 species
GUAGUAUAGAGGACUACCAUGGUGGUAACGGGUAACGGAGAAUCAGGGUUUGAUUCCGGAGAAGGAGCCUGAGAAACGGCUACUACUUCCAAGGAAGGCAGCAGGCGCGCAAAUUACCCAAUCCCGACACGGGGAGGUAGUGACAAAAAAUAACAAUAUCGAUGUUUUUACAACUUUGAUAAUUGGAAUGAGUACAAUCUAAAACCUUUAACGAGUAUCAAUUGGAGGGCAAGUCUGGUGCCAGCAGCCGCGGUAAUUCCAGCUCCAAUAGCAUAUAUUAAAGUUGUUGCAGUUAAAAAGCUCGUAGUUGGAUUUUGAAAUGUUAUAAAACGGCCCGCUUUUGUAAGUGUGUUUUUGUUGUUUUAUAUCUUUCUCCUUACUAGACUUUCACUAUUGUUCUUCAUUGAUCGAUAGUUUCAUCUCAUUUUUUGAGGUGAGUGAUGGUUAGACCUCUUGAGUUUAGGAUUGUGGAUGAUUACUUUUGGUGAUUGUUCUGCUUAGAUUCAAGAACUGAUCAUUAGAAAUCUAGUUCUUUUACUUUGAGUAAAUUAGAGUGUUCAAGGCAAGCAAAUUAUUAUUGUUGCAAUGAAUACUAUUAGCAUGGGAUAAUGGAACAGGACACGUAUUCUAGUUUUCUGUUGGUUUCUAGAAUUUUUUGGCUCUUUCGAGGGUCAGUAGUGUAAUGAUUAAAAGGGACAGUUGGGGGCAUUCGUAUUUCAUUGUCAGAGGUGAAAUUCUUGGAUUUAUGAAAGACGAACUUCUGCGAAAGCAUUUGUCAAAGAUGUUUUCAUUAAUCAAGAACGAAAGUUAGGGGAUCGAAGACGAUCAGAUACCGUCGUAGUCUUAACCAUAAACUAUGCCGACCAGGGAUUGGAAGAUGUAUUAUCCUGUGUAACAGCAGGAAAACUCCUUCAGUACCUUACGAGAAAUCAUAAGUCUUUGGGUUCUGGGGGGAGUAUGGUCGCAAGGCUGAAACUUAAAGGAAUUGACGGAAGGGCACCACCAGGAGUGGAGCCUGCGGCUUAAUUUGACUCAACACGGGAAAACUUACCAGGUCCAGACACAGUUAGGAUUGACAGAUUGAGAGCUCUUUCUUGAUUCUGUGGGUGGUGGUGCAUGGCCGUUCUUAGUUGGUGGAGUGAUUUGUCUGGUUAAUUCCGAUAACGAACGAGACCUCAGCCUACUAAUUAGUUAUGCAAAUGAUUACAUUCUUUAUGAAGGGGGUUUCUAUUAUAGCUUUGGGUUUGACUUGGAGAUGUAAUAGAAAAACUCGUUUUCAUUUGUUAGAGAUUUGAUGUCUUCUGACUGACGAUUUCGAUAAUGACUUCUUAGAGGGACACUUGGUGUUUAACCAAGGGAAGUUUGAGGCAAUAACAGGUCUGUGA